rnacentral:rRNA from 1 species
AACCCAAAGGACUUGACGGUGUCCCAUCCACCUAGAGGAGCCUGUUCUAUAAUCGAUAAUCCCCGCUAAACCCAACCUCCUCUUGCAAUCAGUCUGUAUACCUCCGUCGUAAGCUUACCAUAUGAAUGACCCCAGUAAGCUAAAUGAUUAUAACACCCCAAUACGUCAGGUCAAGGUGCAGCUCAUGAGAAGGCAAGCAAUGGGCUACAAUUUCUAAUCUAGAACAAACGAAACACUGCAUGAAACUCAGCUGUGAAGGCGGAUUUAGUAGUAAAAAGAAAAUAGCGUGUUCUUUUUAACUAGGCCCUGGGACGUGUACACACCGCCCGUCGCCCUCUUCAAUAG